GUGCUACCUGGUCAUUCUGUACCUUUAUUUAAAGAGGCCACACAUCUUUUUUCUGACUUGAAUAAACUGAAACCAGAUGACUCAGGAGUUAAUAUAGCAGAAGCUGCUGCCCAGAACGUGUACUGCUUGAGAACAGAAUACAUUGCUGAUUAUCUCAUGCAGGUAGGAAUCCUCAACCUGUGCCUAGGAUUCAGCAACAAACCACCUGGAACACAUGGUCUCUUAGCACUUGAAGAGGUUAAAGCCUAACCUGCUAUGUGACUGUAGACAGAGCCUUUAUAAGGGGAUUAAAUGAGGUCAUAAGAAUGAGUCCCUAACCCAACAGGACUAGUGUCCUGGUAAGAAGAGGGAGGCACACCAGGAGUUUGCCGGCACGGAGGAAAAGCCCUGUGAGGACACGGGGAGGGCAGCUAUCUGUUUACACACCAGGAAGAAAUGUCUCACCAGAUACCAACCCUGGCCGUCUCCUUGAUUUUGGAUUUCCAAUCUCCAGAACUGUGAGAAAAUAAAUUUCUGUUUAAGCCA
rnacentral:sRNA from 1 species